ensembl:lncRNA
GACAGGCUUUGUCUAUAAGGCAAUCCCUGGUGUGGUGCUGUGCCUCUUUCUCAGCCCACACAGACUCGCAUGUAUCCUGGAGACAACUAUGCAAUCUGAAAGACAGCCCAAACUCUGUUCAGCUCUUUCUAUCAUGGAGUUUGCCCGUGUAAAUGGCUUGAAUCAGGUAACUUUUCAACGGAACAUGAGGAUGACAUCAUUCCUUGGUGAGGAGAAUGACUCACAGGCUAAGAAGUCAAAACCAGGCCCCCCAGUAGAAACAAAGCAUAACUUGUGCUUUUUCUCCCUACUUUUUCCAUGCAGACACGCAAGAGAUAAAAGAGGGAAUGAGGCGGGAAAAAAAAAAGAGGACACACAACUUCAGACGGAGCGGGAAACAACAAUACAGAUAAGUGAUGGAGAGGCAGAGAUUUCUGGUUCAAGUCCUGUGCUGCCGGGGCAUCGCCGAUGCUGCCGCAUUGUCAGAGGCCUGCAUGCAAGCACUCUCCUCAAGGUAGUUUUGCCGCAGCUUUCAGAUGAAGGUUGGUUUUGGGAAGGGGAAGAAACCGUCCAAGUGUCAACACUGGAGAUUGAUGCUUUUAUUUGCUGUCACCCGC